AGGUCUUGACAUCCCGAUGCUAUUUCUAGAGAUAGAAAGUUACUUCGGUACAUCGGUGACAGGUGGUGCAUGGUUGUCGUCAGCUCGUGUCGUGAGAUGUUGGGUUAAGUCCCGCAACGAGCGCAACCCCUAUUGUUAGUUGCCAUCAUUCAGUUGGGCACUCUAGCGAGACUGCCGGUAAUAAACCGGAGGAAGGUGGGGAUGACGUCAAAUCAUCAUGCCCCUUAUGACCUGGGCUACACACGUGCUACAAUGGUUGGUACAACGAGUUGCGAGUCGGUGACGGCGAGCUAAUCUCUUAAAGCCAAUCUCAGUUCGGAUUGUAGGCUGCAACUCGCCUACAUGAAGUCGGAAUCGCUAGUAAUCGCGGAUCAGCACGCCGCGGUGAAUACGUUCCCGGGUCUU
rnacentral:rRNA from 1 species